rnacentral:tRNA from 1 species
UAUAGUUCAGUGGUAGAACAUAUGCUUACUUAGCACAUGUGAGUCUCUGGGUUCAAGUCCCAGUA